rnacentral:lncRNA from 1 species
CCAUGGAUCCAAAGCCUCACUCAAUUAAAGUGGAUUUGUGAUUUUUGGAGUGGGAUUAGGGUUUCUAGAGUUUUAGAGGUGGAGCUCUUAGGAUUUGGAAGAUAGACGGCUAAAAUGAAAUGGGAAUGAACAGUGUUGGCCCAUAAAAAAAUCUCAUUAAAAAAAAAAAAUGGUCCGACACUUAAUCGGCUUAGAAUUAUU